GGAAGCAGUUCCAAGAUGGCGACCUCCAUAGCGCCGGGGAAGAGUGGCUUUCGUAACCAGAAGCAGAAGCAGGAGAACCGAGAUGAGUCAGAGCUCCUCACUGUACCUGAUGGUUGGGAGGAUCCAGCUUUUUCCAGAGGACAAACGCAGAGGACUCUUGGGAAGCAGUUUUGCAUCUCUGUUCCCAAAUACAGAGAUUGGCAAAAGUAGGCUCAUGGUUUUCAUAUGGAAAAAGACAUGCAGCAUGUUAAUGCAACCCUGGACCUGAUCGAGGGCAGCAUGACUGUUUGUACAACAAAGAAGACUUUUGAUCCAUACAUCAUCAUUAGGGCCAGAGACCUAAUAAAACUACUAGCAAGAAGUGUUUCAUUUGAACAGGUAAAUUUACAGUUACAGAGAUUCUGCUUUAUUUGUGCCAUUAGAGAUGAUAUAGCACUGCUUCUAUCCAUCCCUUCCCUUCCUCCAUAGAGUUUUCAUUAUUCUGCUUAGAUAUCAGUGUGGGCUUUGAAAAAAAAAGUAUUUGUAAAGACUAUCGGUUGAAUAUUUCUUUGUUUUUUUUUCAAAAGGCAGUAUGAAUUCUUCAGGAUGGGGCUGCAUGCGAUAUCAUUAAGUUGUUUAGUAAGAAGUAAAAAAAGAUUUGUAAAAAGAGGAUCAUGGCUUAUUGGUCCCAAAGGAUCUACAUUGAAGGUACUUUUUAUCAGUAGAAAACUUGAGUAUCUUCUUUGUCAUUAGUUUUUCAGUGUAUUUCAACUGAAUUUCAACUUAUUUUUCUAUUGAUGUAGGCAUUGGAAUUCUUAACAAACUGUUGAAUUAUGGUUCAAAGAAACACGGUAUCAGCCAUUGGACUUUUUAGUGUCUUAAAAGAGCUUCUAUUGAAACUAAAAUUGACGUGGCUGCCAUCAAGGAAAAGGUUAAGAAAGCAAAGAUUAAGAAACUGUGAGCUCUCACAGCUGAAGAAGUUAAGCUUAAGAUGGAAGCAGAUGAGAAGAAAGAAAAGUAAUACACACACACACAUACACACACAACCUGAACUAGAACCUACUAACCUAUCUCUUUUUAUAAAGGACUUUGAGAUACUAGGGCAUUAGUUGUCUUAUGUGUAAGAAGUAAUAUUCUAAUUAUUUUUUUUUCUGAAUGUGUUUUUCUUUAUGAGAGUAUUUAUAUGUAUGGCUAUUCUUUAUAAAUAUAAAUUAUUGUAUUCUCCGUGUGCUUUUUGAACAAUGUACUAGAGAGCAGUAUCUAUGUCUUUAUGUACAUUGCACCUAAUCUGUUCUAGGCAGGCUUUGUCUAGCAUGAUUUUAGGAGUAAUUAAAAAAACAUUCUUUUUUUCUUUCAUUUUUUAAAUCCUUACCCAAGGAUACUUUUCCACUGAUUUUUAGGAAGAAUGUAAGAGAGAGGGAAAGACAGAGAGAAACAUCGAUGUGAGAGAAACACAUCGAUUGGUUGCCUCCUGCAGGAGCCCUGACCAGGGCUCUGGCCGGGGAGGAGCCUGCAAGGGAGGCAUGUUUCCUUGACUGGAAUCGAACCUGGGACCCUUUGGUCUAUAGGCCAAACCGGCCAGGGCUAAGAGUAAUUCUUUCGUUUGAUGUAAAGAUUUUUGAAAUGUGACUGUUGUAAUUAUCCAACAAAUCGAAUAUCUGAUUUGGUUAAAUACCUACAACUAUGUCCCAGCAUUUGGUUUUGAGGAAAACAAAUGCAGAGUUUUCAGUGCUCUCUCUACUGAUAACAAACAUUUAGGCUUAUUCCUUUCUGUAAUCUCAUUUUCUGUUGUGUUCCAAGAUUAAACAACUCAUAAGCAAAAAAAAAAGCAAGGCCUCUUUAAGUGAAAUUCCUUAAUUGCUAUUCUAUUCUGAAUCCAGAAAAGUGAUAAACCAAAAAUACCUCAAAUUGCAACUGGGUAAACAGAUUAUUUAGAGUUGAAUCAGCAUGCAAGAGUUAUGAAGAAAUGUUUAUACUCAUGAAGGCCUGUUGACUUAUUUAGAAUCACUGAAAUCUAGCUCCCUCAUUUUAUUUUAUUUUUAAUAUUGAUUUUUUUACAGAGAGGAAGGGAGAGGGAGAGUUAGAAACUGAUGAGAAACAUCGAUCAGCUGCCUCCUGCACACCCCCUACUGGGGAUGUGCCUGCAACCAAGGUACAUGCCCUUGACCAGAAUCAAACCUGGGACCCUUCAGUCUGCGGGCCGACACUCUAUCCACUGAACCAAACUGGUUAGGGCUAGCUCCCUCAUUUUAGGUUACUUACUGAAAGUCACUGUGGCAGCCUGAAAACAGUGCUUUUUCAUAGAAACAUGGAAAGUAAAGGUGAGUUUAUCCUGUAGAGUGAGGACUUUGAACAUUUUGGUUAUGGCUUUACUGAAGCAAUGUAAUUUUUUUCUGGAAUGUUUUAAACUUAGAAUUAUACCCAAUUGUUAUUUUUAAAACAUCUUAUACAGAUGAGUUUGUAAACUUUUUUAAAAAAAAUAUUUUUUUUAUUGAUUUCAAAGAGGGAGAGGGAAGGAGGGAUAGAAACAUCAAUGAUGAAGGAGAAUCACCGAUUGGCUGCCUUCUGCACACCCCCUACUGGGGAUCGAGCCUGCAACCCCGGGCAUGGACCCUGACCAGGAAUCAGAACAGUGACCUCCUGGUUCAUAGGUCAAUGCUCACCCGCCGAGCAACACUGGCUAGGCAAGUCUGUAAACUGUAUUUUUCUGGGUAGUAUUAGUCCAAAAGAACUAAAUGUUUGUACUUGACCAAGAUGGUAAUAAUAGCAGCCAGGAUUAGUACUAGUGGACUAACAAUGAGAAAGAGAGAUAGGGAUCUAUUACGUAAAUAUAUCGGCCAGUCUGGAUACACAAUAGAGUAGUAACCUGUGAAACAAACAUAAAAUAUCCUCUUAAAUGUUGUUUUCAUAAUGCAGUAACAUAAUUCACAAAGACUUUAAUGAAACAAUUAAGAUUUAUAUACAUACGUGUGAGUUUGUCUCGCUGUGUGCUAACUGUAAAAUCAGAGAGAAAAAAAAAUUAAAAGAGUAGGUACUGGGGAGGCUUUUGUUUUAUUUUUAAAAACCAAGUUUCUAAUUAUAACUACUAACUGUUGCUUUGACUUUAUUGCAGUGAUUUUCAAAGGUUACUUUUUAAAGAUUUUAUUGUACUAACUAUUCACUUGAUAUUUUUAAAGCAACUUUUAUAUAAACUAAACUUUUUAUGUACCACUACUGUAAAUGGAAAAUCAUUUUACAUAUCACAUCUAACAGAUAAUGAAUCCAAUUAAAAUAAAUAUUAAAACAUUAAAUUUUUAAAAUAAAAAAUAUUAGUAAUA